rnacentral:rRNA from 1 species
UACAGAGGUCUCAAGCGUUGUUCGGAUUCAUUGGGCGUAAAGCGCGUGUAGGCGGUCCGGUAAGUCCGCUGUGAAAGUCGGGGGCUCAACCCUCGGAUGCCGGUGGAUACUGUCGGGCUUGAGUACGGAAGAGGCGAGUGGAACUCCUGGUGUAGCGGUGGAAUGCGCAGAUAUCAGGAAGAACACCAACGGCGAAGGCAGCUCGCUGGGACGGAACUGACGCUAAGGCGCGAAAGCGUGGGGAGCGAACAGG